rfam:Tinamus guttatus contig73340, whole genome shotgun sequence.
AGAAACUUAGGAUAAUAGAUAAACCAAAGGCCUUCAAAGCUUUAAAUAAGAGUUAAAUCCUCUUAGUUUCUG